rnacentral:lncRNA from 1 species
AGCCAUUAGGACCAGCACAAAUUUUCAAAUUUUCUCUUCCAUAAAUGCUGAAAAUUACAACAAGUAUCAGACAACCGAGGGGGGCGGCGGCCUCGCCGGCCUCCUCUUGGCCCGUUGCCGUCGAUACACUUGGACAUCAAAAUCCGCUUUACAAAAAGGCACACAAACUGGAAAGAUUACAUUUUGAACUUCAACUCCAGCGAGCUGAGAAUCAGUUCGGCAGCCAUGAGCCGUAGGCACACGACAGGAACAUCAAGAAGCUAAAAGGAGGACUACAUCGGCGACCGGCGAGCCCGUAGCUCGCGCUCCUCGCCCGCCGGCUCGACGAGGUGUGGCUGCUGCCGAGGGCCGCGAUGCCUUCCUUCGUGGUGCCUCCCGUGGGGGUGCGGGUGCGGGUGCGGGUGCGGCCUACCGGCGCGGUGCUUCCGCGGCAGGCGGUGGUGACGAUGGAUCCCUCCGGCGGUCGGGUGAUGCGACGAGGCAGAGGCGGCGAGGACGAGGAGCGCGAGGACGAGGCACGUCAACAAGGUCUUGCACUGCACCAUCCUCCUCUCUGUCUCUGCUCGUGCUGGGAAAAGGUUUCGGAGAUUUCGAGGAACGGUUCUGAGCUUCUCUCUCUCUCUCUACCUCUCUCUCUCUCUCGUGGCUGGAUUCCACCGAAUUUGAAAUCCCUUUUUAUAUGAUUUCUGUAGCGC